CUCAAGGCCGCCGUUUUUGGCAUUAUUCAGCUGCUAAUAACAUUGUAAUGGUAAACAUAUUAUAUCUUCUACUGAUAUCUGACAAAACAUGUGUAAAUUUUGCUGGAGAAAAAUAGUGAGUGAGAAAUAAUGUUGAAGAAUAAAACUGUUUCUGCCGUCUGCUGUUUGAGAAGGAGCAGUGCUAUCUAAUCUCUCAUAUCUGCAGUUGGAUUUUCUGUUGUCUUUGCCUACUUCCAUCACUUCCAUCUCUUCUUACAAAUACCACUUCUCUGCACACUUCUCAUGCAGUCAAGCAAGUUCGAGCAAGAGAGAUCAAGGCUAGAGUUGAAUACAAUUGCUAUAUAUUUGCUAAUAACUUCUUCCAAUUUCUUUGUCGUAGUUUUGCUUAAGAUUCAGAUUCAGUACUCUAACUAUUGUGCCAGUAUUAUGAUGAGAUGCAUGAUGCACGAGGAUUAAGGAUCAACCUAUCUGCCAGUCAAGAAGCAUGACGUGCCUGGCUCCCUGGAUGCCAUCUAAGCAAAUUGUCAAUAAGAAUGCUGAUUUUUCUUAGUUGGUAUUCAGGGAGCCGUGCAUGUCUAGCUGUUAGACUUACCGUCCGAUCAACCCUCAUCAUGAUGUGAAGUAUACAGUCAAUCAUCUCCUACAGUAAGUACACAGCUACAUGGAAGUGUUUCUUUUGGGAAAAUACUUGGCUGCUGGACGGUUCAGCAGAAACUCCUGCUGAAACUUUAGCAGCCAAGCAGCGUUCCUUCUUUUGUUGAUCCGCUAAAAUGCUCUCUCCAUUUUCUGUUUCUUGCUUUGUCCCUCUUGUUCUUGUUUUUCUAUUUUUUUUUCUUGUUUUUAUCAAGAGUAAGCCAAAGGUAAUUGCUGUUCAAGUUGUCAUUUGUUGCUUAGUAAGUUAUUCAUACCACUUAAAUAUAUCACAAUUUCGUCA